rnacentral:tRNA from 1 species
CAUUAAGUGGCUGAAAGAA